CUGCGGCGACGGCAUGCAAAUCAACUUCCGCAUACUGGUUUAUUCGUGGGAUGUUAUAAGCUAAACAUCUUCCCUCCACCCUCUCGUGGUGGCGAAAGAACGAAUUUCAUCCUUACAGCGCCUCAUUCUUGCAGCCUUGCUAAUAAGCCCAGAAAAAUGACAGUUGUUUCAAGUCCGGUUUCAAGAUAAGGAGAGAGAAAGCAGGGCCUUGAAGUUGCCCAUCAGCACCUGGACAGCAGACUAAGCUGGCAUACAAGUCACCUACAGUCUUCACCACAAUGGCUAGCCCCAACACCACUCAUCUCCUGCUUGAAAGUGUGCUGAAGUCGCGUCAUGAGGGCUUCCACUUCGCUAGCACAAAUCUAGAAAAGAGAAGCAACAUGUCACUGAAAAGAGCAUAGCUCAAGACCAAAAACAAUGGAUGAUUCUCUCACUUCUAUCAUGAACAAGAAAUUCCAGACACACACUCUUUGUAACUAUCUCAGUUCAUUCACAGGCUGCUGUUUCUCACGGGAA